rnacentral:lncRNA from 1 species
CCAAAUGAGUGGAUCAAGAGGCGGUAGCGCAGGAGUGCAGACGGGCGAAGUUGAGGCGCAGAGUUGCUGUGGCGUCGUUCCAAGCGGUGUGCGCGUUAAAAGAAGAGCUAAUUAUAACCAAAAACAUAUGGCCGGUAGGCGAACACCGUUGCCGAAUAAUUUCAGGGAUUACCUUCCGCCACUCCUGCGAGGUUGACCCGCCGGCUACCUACCUUGCAAUUGGAAGGAUCGAUGACUUCUCACGUGGAUCCGGCAGGAAUUCUCCAGCUGAAGUGUGGCUCUCGCUCGUCCACCCGGCUUGUCUCCUCUCCGCCUCACACGUCGCCUCGUCGCCUUUCUCUUCCGUCUCCCUCCUUUCUCUCUCCUAAUUGAUCCAUUCCUUCCUCUCCUUUUUGGUGAUCUGCGGUUACAGCUACGAACACAGAACUAAUAAACACGAUUUGUUCU